AUCUGCCCACCUUGGCCUCCCAACGUGCUGGGAUUACAUUCGUGAGCCACUGCGCCCGGCCUGCCAUCUGGUUUUCUAGUGUCACCAAGUGAAUAUAAGACCUGUGCCAACAGGACCCAGCAUGAUGUAAUCCUCAUGGUGUUUCUUUUUCUCUUAUUGCAGGAGAAGCCUGUGGCCCAGUAUCACCACCCUCCUGUUGACCACCCACCAGAGUGCACCCUUGGCAGUGAGGAGGAGGAGGUGGCCUCUGACAUGGAGAAGCCUGCGGCCCAGUAUCACCACCGUAUGUAUUCUUUUUCUUUUAAAGAGUUACUGAGACGUAGUUGACAUGCAAACCAAUUCACCCAUUUAAAGUAGGUGAUCCAGUGUUUUUACUAUAUUUACAGGGUUGUGCAGCCAUUGU